rnacentral:rRNA from 1 species
GGUUAAGCGACUAAGCGUACACGGUGGAUGCCCUGGCAGUCAGAGGCGAUGAAGGACGUGCUAAUCUGCGAUAAGCGUCGGUAAGGUGAUAUGAACCGUUAUAACCGGCGAUUUCCGAAUGGGGAAACCCAGUGUGUUUCGACACACUAUCAUUAACUGAAUCCAUAGGUUAAUGAGGCGAACCGGGGGAACUGAAACAUCUAAGUACCCCGAGGAAAAGAAAUCAACCGAGAUUCCCCCAGUAGCGGCGAGCGAACGGGGAGGAGCCCAGAGCCUGAAUCAGUGUGUGUGUUAGUGGAAGCGUCUGGAAAGGCGCGCGAUACAGGGUGACAGCCCCGUACACAAAAAUGCACAUACUGUGAGCUCGAUGAGUAGGGCGGGACACGUGGUAUCCUGUCUGAAUAUGGGGGGACCAUCCUCCAAGGCUAAAUACUCCUGACUGACCGAUAGUGAACCAGUACCGUGAGGGAAAGGCGAAAAGAACCCCGGCGAGGGGAGUGAAAAAGAACCUGAAACCGUGUACGUACAAGCAGUGGGAGCACGCUUCGGCGUGUGACUGCGUACCUUUUGUAUAAUGGGUCAGCGACUUAUAUUCUGUAGCAAGGUUAACCGAAUAGGGGAGCCGAAGGGAAACCGAGUCUUAACUGGGCGUUAAGUUGCAGGGUAUAGACCCGAAACCCGGUGAUCUAGCCAUGGGCAGGUUGAAGGUUGGGUAACACUAACUGGAGGACCGAACCGACUAAUGUUGAAAAAUUAGCGGAUGACUUGUGGCUGGGGGUGAAAGGCCAAUCAAACCGGGAGAUAGCUGGUUCUCCCCGAAAGCUAUUUAGGUAGCGCCUCGUGAAUUCAUCUCCGGGGGUAGAGCACUGUUUCGGCAAGGGGGUCAUCCCGACUUACCAACCCGAUGCAAACUGCGAAUACCGGAGAAUGUUAUCACGGGAGACACACGGCGGGUGCUAACGUCCGUCGUGAAGAGGGAAACAACCCAGACCGCCAGCUAAGGUCCCAAAGUCAUGGUUAAGUGGGAAACGAUGUGGGAAGGCCCAGACAGCCAGGAUGUUGGCUUAGAAGCAGCCAUCAUUUAAAGAAAGCGUAAUAGCUCACUGGUCGAGUCGGCCUGCGCGGAAGAUGUAACGGGGCUAAACCAUGCACCGAAGCUGCGGCAGCGACACUAUGUGUUGUUGGGUAGGGGAGCGUUCUGUAAGCCUGUGAAGGUGUACUGUGAGGUAUGCUGGAGGUAUCAGAAGUGCGAAUGCUGACAUAAGUAACGAUAAAGCGGGUGAAAAGCCCGCUCGCCGGAAGACCAAGGGUUCCUGUCCAACGUUAAUCGGGGCAGGGUGAGUCGACCCCUAAGGCGAGGCCGAAAGGCGUAGUCGAUGGGAAACAGGUUAAUAUUCCUGUACUUGGUGUUACUGCGAAGGGGGGACGGAGAAGGCUAUGUUGGCCGGGCGACGGUUGUC